rnacentral:rRNA from 1 species
GUGGGGAAUAUUGGACAAUGGGCGAAAGCCUGAUCCAGCCAUGCCGCGUGUGUGAAGAAGGUCUUCGGAUUGUAAAGCACUUUAAGUUGGGAGGAAGGGCAGUAAGUUAAUACCUUGCUGUUUUGACGUUACCGACAGAAUAAGCACCGGCUAACUUCGUGCCAGCAGCCGCGGUAAUACGAAGGGUGCAAGCGUUAAUCGGAAUUACUGGGCGUAAAGCGUGCGUAGGUGGUUUUGUAAGUUGGAGGUGAAAUCCCCGCGCUCAACCUGGGAACUGCCUCCAAAACUGCAUGACUAGAGUACGGUAGAGGGUAGUGGAAUUUCCUGUGUAGCGGUGAAAUGCGUAGAUAUAGGAAGGAACACCAGUGGCGAAGGCAACUACCUGGACUGAUACUGACACUGAGGUGCGAAAGCGUGGGGAGCAAACAGGAUUAGAUACCCCAGUAGUCC